UUUUAAUAAUUUUCAUAACUAUUCCCACCUCUUACCAGUUCCUGGUUCCAAUUCGAGAAGAUCAGAUCGACUAUGUGAAUCCCUUUUAUCUAUGUGAUUAGCGUUAGUUUCUCAAACAUGUAUGUGUCAUUUUCUAUUCCCUCCGUACCAGAGAUGAGUUCGGCUUCCAAAUUGUUCGAUUAUAAGAGUUUUAGAUCUGCAGAAUUGAGUUCGAGUGAAGCAAAUCUGAGGUGAAUUUCCGGUGAUCCUGCCUCGUAUUGCGACCAGAAAAGGCACCACACUGAGGACAGUGAUGUUAACUCUUUUAGGGACUCAAGUAGUGAUGUAAGCAGUGAUUACAACCUCCCAAAGAGUGAAUUUUUUCAGUGGUUGGAUCAGUUGUCGUUAAAUUACCAACACGUCCUUCAAGAAGGCUUCUCUAGUGAUGAGGGUGAAUCAGUAAGACUACAAAGUUGUCUUUCAUUUGAGUAUUUGGAGUGUAAUCAACCUUGGGGUCGGGAACCUUUGAUUGAUUAGAUACUUGAUCUUGUGCGUCGCUUCAUAGACUUGAAAAGCGUGAAAAGUUGUGACUUGUUUUCUUCUAGUUGGUUAUCUGUGGCUUGGUACAAUCUUUGUGACAUCUGUUAUUUUAUGUUUUUUUUAUUGUAUUCACGACAUAUUAUUUUGAUGAUUAAAUAGGUACCCAAUUUAUAGGAGUCCAAUGGGACCAACAUUGAAAGAUCUUAAUGCUGUUUUUUACCUUUCAUUCUCUUCAUACACCAAUCACAGGCUAUGGAUAUUUUCACAACCUCUUCGGCUAAGAGCAUUCGGUUGAAGGUGGCUGGGUUUGGCGGGGCGAAACGGACCUGCAGAAGUAUCAUUGGAACAACUGGGUCACUCGUAAAGUGAACUACCUAACAUGGAGGGCUGUGUUGGGGACGGGGUGUAUCGCUACUAAAGAAGCUUUGACGUGAAGAGGUUUGGCUUUAGAUAACACUCUUUGCGGCAGGUGUGAGCUGGUAAUUGAAGAUGUGAAUCACAUUUUUGUCGAUUGUUUAUCGGCUAGAAGUGUGUGGUGGCAAAUCUGUAGAUGGACUAAGGAUCAACCACAUUAUUUGUCACCUAUAUUAUAUAUUUAUAUCGAGUGGAAUUGCUUAAUGUUUUACUUGCUUCGUAAAAGUUGCAGUAUAAGCUUUUUCACUAGUAUAAGAAUGUUUUCACUAAUAAAAGAUAAAUUAU
rnacentral:lncRNA from 1 species